rnacentral:rRNA from 1 species
AUUGAACGCUGGCGGCAUGCCUUACACAUGCAAGUCGAACGCGAAAGCGGGGCAACCCGCAAGUAGAGUGGCGAACGGGUGAGUAAUACAUCGGAACGUACCCAGUAGCGGGGGAUAACCUCUCGAAAGAGAAGCUAAUACCGCAUACGACCUACGGGUGAAAGCGGGGGACCGCAAGGCCUCGCACUAUUGGAGCGGCCGAUGUCGGAUUAGCUAGUUGGCGGGGUAACGGCCCACCAAGGCGACGAUCCGUAGCUGGUCUGAGAGGACGACCAGCCACACUGGAACUGAGACACGGUCCAGACUCCUACGGGA